rnacentral:rRNA from 1 species
CCUACGGGGUGCUGCAGUGGGGGAUAUUGCACAAUGGGGGAAACCCUGAUGCAGCGACGCCGCGUGUGGGAAGACGGUCUUCUGGAUUGUAAACCACUGUCCCCAGGGACGAAAAUGACGGUACCUGGGGAGGAAGCUCCGGCUAACUACGUGUCAGCAGCCGCGGUAAUACGUAGGGAGCAAGCGUUGUCCGGAAUUACUGGGUGUAAAGGGAGCGUAGGCGGGGAUGCAAGUUGGGUGUCAAAACUACCGGCUCAACCGAUAGUCGCACUCAAAACUGCAGCUCUUGAGUGAAGUAGAGGCAGGCGGAAUUCCUAGUGUAGCGGUGAAAUGCGUAGAUAUUAGGAGGAACACCAGUGGCGAAGGCGGCCUGCUGGGCUUUUACUGACGCUGAGGCUCGAAAGUGUGGGGAGCAAACAGGAUUAGAUACCCCUGUAGUC